UCUUGGGUCCUUGGUCAAGAAUGUCAACCUGUUAUAAUGUGGCCUCUCAAGAAAAAUCAGGCGCAGUCUCCUGCCCUGUCUCAGUGCUCCCUGGCUGCCGUGGGAUGUUCAGCUGUCCUCUGCCGGCCCCUUCCGCCAUGCAUUCCGCCUUGGAGCCGGCCAACCAGGGACUGAACCCACAGGAAACUGGCCUGCUGGCACCUGCAGUAUCAAACCCCGGAGUCACCACAUCCUGUUUCCAGCUGUCGGAAAGGAAAGGACAUGAUGGUACCAGCCCAGAAGUGGCACGCAUCGUUUCUACUCAUUCAAGGCCUGGAAUGUGCUCACAGGAGCCCGGGAAGAAGGAGAAACAAACGCCAUCAGUAGCGGCGUAGCCGAGGCAGAACGCUCCAUGAGUGCUAAGGGUCCCCCGGCGACUCCUGGGCCCAGGUUCUCGAGCUGCGGCUCUCCAAGGGUGGCUCCCAGCCAGGGACGGUGGGGCCGGGGUGGACACCCUGCCUCACUCCUCUCCCAGCUGAGCCCAUUCCUCCCUAAGGCUUCCGCUGUCACUUACUCUAACUCCCUUUCCUCUUCCUAAAUCUUGAUUUGCUCUUCUUAUAAUAUGAACAAUGAAUUCCUGGUAGGACACCUGGCUCUUGAACCCUGGAUGAUGGUACCAACAAGAGGUAGUUACCAUUGUUAUCCCCAUAUUGUGGAUAAGGAAACUGAAAUAUACAGCAGGUAAGUGACUCACCCAAGGCGCACUAACCAUCGUUAGCCCUAGGCAUGGUAUCAGGUGGUGGCCAACCUAUGGCACGCGUGCCACAGCGGGCUGUUUGUUAUCAUGGAAAGCUCUAAACGUUUGCCAUCACUGGAGCAUAUCCUAGGCCUGACCAAAAUUUUUUCCUCCAAGAUUUGGCCAUGGGGUGAGCUGGGAACAUGUUGCUCUUACCAAACAGAGCUGCCACCUUGAUUUGUCAAGAAAUUCUUGCUUUUACAUUUGCAAAAAUAUCCCUUCCUAUUGUUAUCUUUUAACUUUAUCCUAGCAGCAUUGGUUUUUUCUUUACUUCUGGUGGCUUAAAGUUUUAUAUUUUUAUACAGUAAAACCUGAUGAUCUCUUCCAUAUUGAG